UCCACGUUCAAGAGUUUCCACGUUCAAUUUUAAUCGUCCGUCUUUUUUAAAUUGUUUUUAUAAUUAGUUUUUUUAUGAAAUGAUAAAACAUGAUCGAAUAGUACUUCACUUGUGACUUAUGUUUUUAAUUUUUUUAAAAAAAACAAUUUAAAUAAGACGGACGAUCAAAACUGGACGCGGAAAACCAUAGCUGCAUUUGAA
rfam:Oryza glumipatula chromosome 8, whole genome shotgun sequence.